GCUGGAAAGAAUUUCGGUCAGGGAUGAGCUCGCGGCCUAUCAGCUUGUUGGUGAGGUAAUGGCUCACCAAGGCGUCGACGGGUAGCCGGCCUGAGAGGGUGACCGGCCACACUGGGACUGAGACACGGCCCAGACUCCUACGGGAGGCAGCAGUGGGGAAUAUUGCACAAUGGGCGCAAGCCUGAUGCAGCAACGCCGCGUGAGGGAUGACGGCCUUCGGGUUGUAAACCUCUUUUAGCAGGGAAGAAGCGAAAGUGACGGUACCUGCAGAAAAAGCGCCGGCUAACUACGUGCCAGCAGCCGCGGUAAUACGUAGGGCGCAAGCGUUAUCCGGAAUUAUUGGGCGUAAAGAGCUCGUAGGCGGUCUGUCGCGUCUGCUGUGAAAACCCGAGGCUCAACCUCGGGCCUGCAGUGGGUACGGGCAGACUAGAGUGCGGUAGGGGAGAUUGGAAUUCCUGGUGUAGCGGUGGAAUGCGCAGAUAUCAGGAGGAACACCGAUGGCGAAGGCAGAUCUCUGGGCCGUAACUGACGCUGAGGAGCGAAAGGGUGGGGAGCAAACAGGCUUAGAUACCCUGGUAGUCCACCCCGUAAACGUUGGGAACUAGUUGUGGGGUCCAUUCCACGGAUUCCGUGACGCAGCUAACGCAUUAAGUUCCCCGCCUGGGGAGUACGGCCGCAAGGCUAAAACUCAAAGGAAUUGACGGGGACCCGCACAAGCGGCGGAGCAUGCGGAUUAAUUCGAUGCAACGCGAAGAACCUUACCAAGGCUUGACAUAUAGAGGAAACGUCUGGAAACAGUCGCCCCGCAAGGUCUCUAUACAGGUGGUGCAUGGUUGUCGUCAGCUCGUGUCGUGAGAUGUUGGGUUAAGUCCCGCAACGAGCGCAACCCUCGUUCUAUGUUGCCAGCACGUAAUGGUGGGAACUCAUGGGAUACUGCCGGGGUCAACUCGGAGGAAGGUGGGGAUGACGUCAAAUCAUCAUGCCCCUUAUGUCUUGGGCUUCACGCAUGCUACAAUGGCCGGUACAAAGGGCUGCAAUACCGUGAGGUGGAGCGAAUCCCAAAAAGCCGGUCCCAGUUCGGAUUGAGGUCUGCAACUCGACCUCAUGAAGUCGGAGUCGCUAGUAAUCGCAGAUCAGCAACGCUGCGGUGAAUACGUUCCCGGGUCUUGUACACACCGCCCGUCAAGUCAUGAAAGUCGGUAACACCUGAAGCCGGUGGCCCAA
rnacentral:rRNA from 1 species